GGAGAAAGAGAAACCAGGAAGCACUUCGGAAGCAUGUAAAUUACAAGGAAAUGAGGAACAGCCUUUAUUGAAACAGUCUGUGAAGUCUGUGCUAGCGCUGAGAGCUUCAUUUUACUGUCCUGGCAAGGAGGUUUUAUCUACUACAAAGGAUAUCACUUGGGAAGGAAUUUCUUGAAACUGCUCCCAAGAGAGCCAUUGGACCAUGUGGUAAACAACUCCUAGCUGAUGGAUUAUUGGGAAUAUUAACAUCAUCCAGAAUGCUAUGGGGAGAAGACAACUGGAAGCUCCGUGUGGACAAACCUCCUGGACUCUGCCCCACAUAUCUCUUCCCUUGGCUGAUUUGAAUUUGUAUCCUUUCACUGUGAUAAACCACAACCAGAUUAUUACAGCUGUCAGCAAGUUCUUCUAUUGAAUUGUUGAAACUGAGGGUGGUCUUGGGAACCCCUGAACUCUACUGUUGGUGUCAGGAGUGAGGGAAGUCUUGUGGACUGUACUCCCUGACCUCACAGUUAGAAGCUGACAGCUGACACGCCCUUCCUUUGUGCAUUUUAUCCUGGGACAAAAUGAGAAGACAUCCUUCAGUUCCCAUCUUGGAUGGCAUAACUUCAAAACCAAGGGAGAUGGAGGAGUUUUAGAGGAGUAGAAGGCUGCAAGCAAGAACUGAUGCAUUACAUCUCCAGUCACCUCACUCUAAGAUUGUCCUGUAGCUAAGACUGUUGAAUGAGACUGUUGUUCUUCAGUUUGCAGCCACAAAGCACGGAGGCAUCUCCCCAAGAAUCCACUGCAGGGAGGAUGAACAGCCCUUACCUGGAUUUUUGCUUUAUCUAAAAAUAUAUUUGUAGAAGAAGGAGCAUUCUAGUUUCCAAAUACAAAGGGCAAUCUCCUUCUCUGUGUGUGCACGUGCAAACAAACACACUUCUACAAGUAAGCAUUCUUCUUUAUUAUCAUAGUCAUCAUCAUCACUGGGUUGGCAACUAAAAACAAAACUACAAAACUCUCAUGUUAGCAGUUGAGUAACUUUUAAUAACCAGAUACAAACCAUUCUUCAUUGUUUACAAGGGGCAUUAAAAAGAAAAGGAGGUUGAACUGCAAUGUGAAGUGUAGUUAAAUAUGUAGACAUCUUGGAUUCUAGAAGAGUUUGUAAUGGAUUAAAGGGUUAAGCUAUGAAA
ensembl:lncRNA LINC01915 long intergenic non-protein coding RNA 1915